GACGAACGCUGGCGGCGUGCUUAACACAUGCAAGUCGAACGGAAGGCCCUGCUUUUGUGGGGUGGUCGGAUUGCGAACGGGUUAGUAACACCUGAGUAACCUGCCCUUGACUUUGGGAUCACUUCAGGGAACUGGGGCUAAUACCGGAUAGGAGCUCCUGCUGCUUGGUUGGGGUUGGAAAGUUUCGGCGGUUGGGGAUUGAAUCGCGGCUUAUCAGCUUGUUGGUGGGGGAGGGGCUUACCAAGGCUUUGACGGGUAGCCGGCCUGGGAGGGUGACCGGCCACAUUGGGACUGAGAUACGGCCCAGACUCCUACGGGAGGCAGCAGUGGGGAAUAUUGCACAAUGGGCGGAAGCCUGAUGCAGCAACGCCGCGUGCGGGAUGACGGCCUUCGGGUUGUAAACCGCUUUCGCCUGUGACGAAGCGUGAGUGACGGUAAUGGGUAAAGAAGCACCGGCUAACUACGUG
rnacentral:rRNA from 1 species